CUGCUGCCUCCCGUAGGAGUUUGGGCCGUGUCUCAGUCCCAAUGUGGCCGGUUCACCCUCUCAGGCCGGCUAC
rnacentral:rRNA from 1 species